rnacentral:rRNA from 1 species
UACCUCUUCUUCCAUUUUCUUCUACGGUUAAAAAAGAUAAGUUAAGUUCAACUACUCCUACUAGACUAUUGAUUAUAAAAGGCCCGACUAAGCUUUUACUAUAGUCUGAUACGUUACAAACCACUACAAUAUACGAAACUGUGGUGUAUAUCCUUUGAUCUACUACCCGCAGGGAAACCAAACUAACAACCCCACUUAUUAGUGUUCUUUUGGUACCAGAAACCACGAUGUGAAGAGAUACUACUUUGACGACUUUCAAAACCAACCGAAAAAUCUUGUAAAGAUUGUCGAUACAGACCCUUUGUAGCUUCCUGAUAAGACUGGCUACUUCUACGUCGUUACCGGUUCCGUUAGUCAUUUCAGGAAGGAGUCAGAGUGGUAUCUGAAACACACACCGUAUACUUAGUUUUACGAACGUUCGUGGAACGACCCCAACAACUUCUUAUAUUCUUCAAGUUACGGCUAAAGGUCGUAACGUAGAUACUAUAACUCCUUCUUCUGCUAAAAUAUUUACUUACCUUAUCUUACGAUCUGUCCAUACCUGAGGCACUGUUAUACACCGACGUUUCCGACAAACUCUUUUCCCUCGUUACCCGUGAUCACAUACCGUCUUUAUGUAAGAGUCGGGUGUACUCGUGAUGGGUUUCUUCACUUUCGUACUUAUUACUUGAUUUCGCCAUGUAAUCAUAAUUUAUACUGUACGAAUAAAAAAAACUCGUAAAACUCGCAGAUCAACGUCUAUUUUCUAAACAUCUCCACUUCACACUGAAGUUCCGCAGUGUUUGAUGAGGGUUCGACUUCCGUCUUCAAUCGAUACACAAUUCCGUUCGGCGUUGAUGUAUAUGAGGGCGUUAUAAGUUCUACAAAGUCCUCGUUCACGAAGCCUGGGACUUGAUACUGUAUAAAGAAACACUAAGUUCACUAUUUCUCUUCUUCCAAAUGUGUCAUUUUAAAGUACCUUGCGUCGCGCUCGUACAAUAGUCAAAAAUAGGUUUACUUCUUUUCCAGUUAACGUCAACGUUCUUCAAACUUAAACGACCUUAGGAGACGAGAGUAACGAAUUUCUAUGAACUAUAAUUAUUAUAGUUCGUAUAGGGACUUGUUAUAUAUGACUUUUCUACCUGUUAACUACGCUUUCACGAUCUCUAUUGUUCGUUAGCGUUAGACGUACUUCUAGAUUUUCGUUCUUACAGCUUGAAAAUGUUCCUGAACACAUCUUACAAAUAGGUGUAUCGACGAGCGCGGCGUCUCAGGCUACUUUGUAUACUAUACCGACGAUUUACACGUCUCGUCGAUCGUGCUCUACAUCUCGUUUCGAACUUUUAAUCUCAACUAGGUCUGGGUUUAGGUCUAAACCCACUGAGGAGACAAAGCGUUCAGACUUGUAGCUGAGAUGAUCUCAAAGUUUCGUAUUGCUCCCCGAAGUGUACGGUUCUCCAUACUUCCAGUUCCUCUUCUGACAUGCUCCUAGUCGCUCUGGGUAACCACCGAACCUCUUUCGUUUUUGUUGCUUCUUUUUCUUCUAUCUACUAAGAAAUGUUGAUGUUGGACUUUACGGAAAGUGUUUAGUUUACGGAUGCAUAUUGGGUUAGAAUUACCCAGUUAAGUCUCUUUUAUAACAUGGUCCUAGUCGUUCUGGGCGACUACCGAACCUCUUUCGUUUUUGUUUCUUCUUUUUCUUCUGUCAGUUAAGAAAUGUUCUUCCUGGACUUUAUGGAAACUGUUUGGUUUACGGACCCAUAAAUGGUGUCAUGUUAGGUUGGGUUUACCAAGUUGACCCUCGAGGCGGUUCAGUACGAAUGGGGAUAAAUCGUGUAAUGUUGAGUUCAGACGUUGUUAGGUAACCAGACAGCUGGGGAUGCUACUACGGUCCUGUUUUAUAUAAUAAGAAGGUUGUUGUCUGAGGAUGGUCACCAUGAAGAUGGGGAUACUAUUACCGUCCUGUCUUAGAUGGUAAGAAGGUUGUUGUCUUAGGAUGGUAACCAUGGACAUCGGGAUGCUACUACGGUCCUGUCUUAGAUAGUAAGAAAAUUGUCGUCUGAGGAUGGUCACCAUGAAGAUGGGGAUACUACUACGGGCCUGUCUUAGACAGUAAAGAGGUCGUUGUUUUAGGAUGGCAACCAUGGAGUUGGGGCUGCUACUAGGGUCCUGUUUUAGAUGGUAAGAGGGUUGUUGUUUUCGGUCGAAUUAGUUACAAUAUCUAAAAAUAAAGUACAUGAAGACACGUUAAGAUAAUCUUGGAUACUCAUAUGUUGGUACCUAACUUCCUCUGAUGGAUAUAGUUAGUCGUUAAUUGACUUAUUCGUUAAACAC